rnacentral:lncRNA from 1 species
AAUAUGUGGGACAUACGAAGCCUAUAAAUACCGACACUCUCAGCCUACUCGACACCCUCACACCAUCACAACAUCUUUUCGCUCAAACCGCAUACUCGUCGGAGAAGCCGGGUCGUCACCGGAAGAACUUGAAGCUCGCCGGAGCCGUACGGAAUCCGACGGAACUCUUUUCUUUUGUUCGGACAUCACCUUCUCCUUUUGGUUCGCGCUGGUUCACGUCGGAGACAACCUAAGUUCGCAACGGGAACCAUUUCAUCGAUUCGGAUAACCGCUCUCGUUCGUUCUCUUCAAUUCCCAAUCUUUACUCGUGCGAUAAUUCAAGGAAUUCUCAUAUGCAUUCAAUGUUGAUGAUUGAUGACACUAUGAAAAUGGAUAGCGAAGAUGCCUAGAUACUUAUUUAGACGCCUUAAGUUUAAAUCGUUGUAUCAAUUUUGUUAUGUUAUGUUUGAACAAUGUUGUCAUUGAAUUUCCUUGUAUGUUUUAACAAUUUAUUUAUGAAAUGAAAUCGGUU